rnacentral:misc_RNA from 1 species
AAGGAUCAUUAACAAAUCAUGUUUGCGCACGGGGGGAUAUCCUCCCUGUGCGCAUAUCAGCCCGACCCGGGUAUCCGAAAGGCUAUUCGGGUCAAUCUUGAGGGGUGUGCGAGCGCUUCUUGAGACAUUUACGCUUGUAUUGUUUGACAGAGUAAACAUGACACCAAAAGAUACAACUUUUAACAAUGGAUCUCUUGGCUCUU